UACGUAGGGGGCUAGCGUUGUCCGGAAUCAUUGGGCGUAAAGCGCGUGUAGGCGGUCCGGUAAGUCCGCUGUGAAAGUCGAGGGCUCAACCCUCGAAUGCCGGUGGAUACUGUCGGGCUAGAGUGCGGAAGAGGCGAGUGGAAUUCCUGGUGUAGCGGUGAAAUGCGCAGAUAUCAGGAAGAACACCAAUGGCGAAGGCAGCUCUCUGGGACGGUACUGACGCUGAGACGCGAAAGCGUGGGGAGCGAACAGG
rnacentral:rRNA from 1 species